AUGCGUAGGUGGCGAGCGUUGUCCGGAAUUACUGGGCGUAAAGGAUGCGUAGGUGGAUACUUAAGUGGGAUGUGAAAUCCCCGGGCUCAACCCGGGAACUGCAUUCCAAACUGGGUAUCUAGAGUGCAGGAGAGGAAAGCGGAAUUCCUAGUGUAGCGGUGAAAUGCGUAGAUAUUAGGAGGAACACCAGUGGCGAAGGCGGCUUUCUGGAUGUAACCUGACACUGAGGCAUGAAAGCGUGGUUAGCAAACAGGAUGAGUUACCCUGGUAGUCCACGCCGUAAACGAUGGGUACUAGGUGUAGGAGGUAUCGACCCCCUCUGUGCCGUCGUUAACACAAUAAGUACCCCGCCUGGGGAGUACGGUCGCAAGACUAAAACUCAAAUGAAUUGACGGGG
rnacentral:rRNA from 1 species